CCUGGGCGACAGAGCAAGACUCCAUCUCAAAAAAAAAAAAAAGUUUAUUUGGCUCACAAUUCUGGAUGACGGGAAGGUUGAAGGUUGGGUGUCUGCAUCUGGUGAGGGCCUCAUGCUGCUUCCACUCAUGGUAGAAGGGGAAGAGGCACUAUGUGUGUAGAGAUCACAUGGCCAGAGAGUGAGGGUGGAAGUGCCAGGUUUUUUUUUUUUUUUUAAAAAACUAGCUUUGGUGGGAACUCCCUCACCCCUGUUCCCCACAGGAAGGCAUUAAUCUAUUUAUGAGGGAUCUACCUGCCAUAACCCAGACACCCCACUAGCCCCCAUCUCCCAACACCAUCACACUGGGGAUUAAAUUUCAACGUGGGAUUUGGAGAGGACAAAUAUCCAAACCAUAGCAGUCUUACAGUAUUUAAAUUAGAGUCAUUUGUGGAGUUUCUAAAAGGUAUGCAUUCCUAGGCCCCUCUCAGGUUAGAUUUAUGAACACGGAUCCCCAGUCUGAAUUUUAAAACAGCAAAAUCUCAUACUGGUUCUACAGAUUAUUCUGAUGCACAAUCUGGAUUAAGAACCACUGUCCUGUAGUCGUGAAGUCUAUAUAUUUUGGUAUUUUCUUUACCUCUUUUCUAAUUAACCAGUCUGAAGGAGUUUGAAUUUUGGGGAUUGUAGAUUGUCUGCAAGAGAAACACAUUAACAUCUGUGCACAUAGAGUCCUUUGUAAUAAUUUGGGAUGAUUGACUUUGUGGCUCCAGGUAGGAGAGCCAGGCUUCAUGAAAGUUAUUCAGUCACUACAGUUUUGGAGGACUGACUCUUAACCCCAAUAGGAAAUCAGUUGUGCUAUUUUAAAUUCAUAAAGCUAUUAUAAAGAGCUGCCUCCAGUAAAAAAAUACAUAUGCCACAUACCCACAAACAGCAAUAUUAAUCCUUCAUUAUUGGAGUUAGACCUUAUAAUCAAAAAGCAAAUUAUUUAAGAUAAAAUUACCAUUGAGGAGUUUAAUACUUUUCAAGGAAUCUUCACGUCAGCCUUGAUCCCAGACCAAUAGAAUGGAAUAACAACAGGAAUGUUUAGCAUUUCUAUGCAGAGAGAAAUCCAAAAGUUUGUCCUAUGUGAGAUUUUGCUUUUCCCAUCUUUUUGAAACUGAUCAGCAGAUACAUAAGAACCUGGAAGAAGCUGCUCGAUUAAGGUUUAAAAAAAAAAAGCAAUUGUUAGCAAUGUGGUGCUGAAAUCAAGACUUAACUUUGAAGUGUCAGGAAUGAUAACCUCCCAUCCACUUCAUGUGAUUUUUAAAAAUAUGUUUUAUAUAUUUCUCCAGGUAUUAAAGUGGAUGUCCACCUUUGCCAUUUCAGAACCUAAAGGCAGAAUCUAAUGAUAAAAUGAAGACAACCUAGUUGUCUUCUAAUAACCUAGUUCUAAUAAUAUUCUCAAAUAUUUUCAUCUAGAGUAAAUAUUUACUGUUGGCUUUGUAUUCUGGGAAUUAGCCCAAGACUAUGCUGCUCAAAUGGGUGCAAAUAUACUCUCAGGUUGCAAUAGCAUGACUAGUGGUAUUUGAAGCAAUAAUUGUUCCAUCUUGGAUUAUCGGUUUUGCUCUUUGAUUUGGUAAAGUUUUUGUUUUUCUACUCGUGCCAGUUGUAUUAAAAUGUUACUAGGUUAAAAACAAACACAGAUAUGUUUAUUCAUUACUGUAUCCCUGUAAUAAUGCCUGGCAUGCAGUAGGCCCCUUAUAUUUGUUGAAUGAAUGAAUUAUAGAAUAGAGUGCAAAAUUAAUUCUAAUGUAUUUUAAAGUAAAGCAUGAGAGUUCAAAGAAAUGUCGUAUUUGCCAUCUACAACUUGGAAUAAUGUUCCUUGAUCCUGCUUUACUUCAUGCACUUUUGCCAGCAGAGGUGGAUGCCUUAGGGAAAAAGUUGGAUAAAUGCUGAUCUAAGGCAACACGUCUAAAUGGUUAUGUGAACAUUUCCCAGUUGAGGUAAAACUAAGAGGAGUGAUAAUAACAUCUCAUCAAUUUAAAGGACAAGUUCACUGAUCGUACUGUCAUACUCCAGAGAUACAUGUGCCAAGAAGCAAAGAGAUGCACUCUUGUAUUCCAGAAAAAAGAUGAUUUAGGACAUACGAGUCAGGCAGCAGAAGUUGGAUCCGUUGUAUGAUUGUGUGUCAAAAUGAGAGUCACACACUUCAAGAACUGUAGGAACUAAUUUUAGAAAAAGACUCUUCAGAACAGAUGACACAUGAAAUGUGAGUUUAUGUAAACAUGUAAAUUUGAGUAGCAUUAGUUUGUUUUCUGUUUAGGAACUGUUUCCGGGUGACAAAGAUGAAAGAAUGCUGCCAGAAAAGUAUAUUGUUAAAUUUUCAGGCCUCCAUUGGUGAAGUUUCAAGUAACCUUUCGCUUAAGUUACUUGUGUCAGAGGAUGGAUGACAGGGUCAUUUAAAUUGUUGGACAAAGCCAUGAAAGGACUUUUAAAAUUUUGUCAUAAAAAUAGCCAAUGAUGUUUUUAAUUUUACAUCUAAAACUAAUUUGCAUUAUCCUGUGUUAGUGACUGAAUCUCAACUCAGUCCUCUUUUUCAGUUCAACUUUUGACAACCUUAUUUUCAUUGACACCAUGGACAGCACAGUAAAAAAAUACACAAAUUUCCUUUGCAGUUAUUGAUAUGGAAUGAUCACUUUAAAAGAGCCAUCAAAUACGCCUACAUAUUGAGCCACUCUUUAUCAUUAAGGUGAAAAGUUCAUUCGUUUAAGGUAUUUGAGUGCUACUAUGCGCCAGCCUUUCUUUGUGAUAAUGUUAAUGUUUUUUUUUCCCUCCCCUCCAUGAAGGGAAGAAAAAAAAAUUAAUUCAGCCAUGAAUUUUAAUAUUCUGGCCAGCACCUUAUCCGUUUGUAGCCAUGCCAACAAAUUUAUUCUGUGAUAGACCAAACUUACAAAGUCACUCUGCAAUUUUAGUAAGCCCCAUUCCCAACAUGAGUGCACUGUCCACGGUCCUGAACCAUCAAUGCUAAAUGGUAUUUAGUUGUUGAUCUUCAUCCUGUCAUGCAGCUAAAUAUUCCAGGAAUACUGAACCAAGUGAGGAGAAAGAUAGCAGUGGGUUGCUGCAAAAGAGGUGAGGGGAGGGGAGAGAUAGCAAGUGAGAAAAAGAGACUAGUGGUGAUGUUUUUAAAUAAUUGAAGUAAAAAAGAGAGAGAGAAGAUGUUCUACUCAGUCCACCAAAGCUUUUUAAUUUCCUUACAUAAUUAACAUGAUGAAUUUUUAAAUAAUUGUUAUAUUUAGUUUUGUUCUUCCACCUUUUGGCUAUUUCUACUACAUAUUUACUUAUCGUAAAAAAUACUUCUAGACCUUCCUCUUAUAGCUAUUGCCUAUCUCUACCUUUGCAGCUGUUCUCCUUUAAAGAAUAGUCUCCAUUAGUUUUCUUGACUUUGUCAUCUCCCUGCACAAAGAUGAAGGGUAUUUAGCUCUGAAAAUCCUUUACUGUUGAAUAUUUAGAUUGUUUUCAGUUUUUACAUAAUGAACAAUGAAUCAUGGGAUUAUUGGCUGCAAAUAAAUUGGAAACGUAAAAGGAGUUUUAAGUUUAAAUUUUUUAAAAAACAGGUAAAAAGAAAAUAUUUGCCAAAGA